UGCCGGUCAUAUGGCUGCCUUCCUACCUACUGUACCUCUAAAUCUAAGGUGCCUACAGUGCCAAUAUAGCUACCCACUUAUCUCCAAAAUAACCCCACAAUAAACUAAAUAACUAAUAGGGUGGUGCAGGGGUUAGCACCGUUGCCCCACAGUAAGAAGGUUCUGGGUUUGUGGCCCGGUGCUUUUCUGUGCAGAGCUUGCAUGUUCUCCCUGUGGUGUUCUGGUUUCCUGUUUCCAAAGACAUAGUAUCAGGGUUGCUCGGUUUCACCUGCCCUCUCUCCUCCACACACCUGCCAGCUAUCCUCAUUACCACCACCUGUUGUCACUCCUGCAAUCACCAGAUCUCCUAUAUUUACCUUUCCUUUUUACCUGCCCACUGCCAGUUUGUUCUUGUCCCCACACAGACAACUAGAGCCACCUCACUUUAAUACAGAAACUGUUUUUGUUCUUUUGUAUUUUCUCUCUGACUGUUUUCAGUUUGCCUACUAGCCUUCUCCUCACCUCCUGCCUUCAGCCCUCCUGCUUGGACACAUACUCCCACACGAAACUAUUUACCUCCGGACCUACUCCAUUCUGCCUUUGGACUAUUAUUCACCAGCCAGGAGAAGGAAGCCUGAACCCCAUCCAACUAUGCCAUCGUCUGCCAAUGCAGAAGAGCUUGGAGAAGAGCCUGGUUUGUGCUCCUGAAGACCUCCAAAAACCAAUAAGCAAUGCUCUCUGGCUCCAGUCUACCAACUAGGCUAAAAAAGUGUGGUUGUCAACUCCUGAUCUGCCUCUCCUGGUGGAAUGUUGACUCACCAUUGCCACCUUUCAACACAAUCAUCUGGAGCAACCUGGCAGACCAAAGUGAAGCAAUGCUGUUCCUGCCCAGAUCAGUGCUUGCUUGUCACAAUAUACUGAUUACAAAUGUAUAGUAAUCCAUGAGAUGAACAAGUUGGGGCUAAUCAGAAGCUAACCUCUGGGAAAUUUAAUGGGAAAAUUAUAUCAGCACCUUUUUUAGUGUGUUGGCUGUUGCUAUGUAGUUAUUCUACGCAGUUAUUUGUGUGCUUAUGAAACUAGACAGUUUACUGUGUCA